CAAAAUUGCCCGACUGUUGAUCGAAUAUUGCCCGACUGCCCAAAAAACUGGGGGGGCUACCGCCCCCCCCGCCCGGUACGCCUAUGUCCACGGUGGUCAAACGCCAAGUGAAGAAUUGAAAGUGACGUCGAUGACGGGACCUGAGGAUAAUAGCUGAGGCCACACAACAAAAGCAAAGAAGGACUAAAGACGCAUGUGCAAGUUCGUCGACAAGACGAAAUUCAAGAUUGACAUGAUAUGGGUAUGCUAGAGAAAGAGCCAUAGUAUAUCACGCGAUGGGUAAUGAAAGGAAAGAAAGAUGGGAAACGACUACGCAGUAGAUAAGGGUAAGGUUGGAUAAGGUUGUAAAUAGAUCAUCGUUUUGUUAAGAAAUAACAUUGCAGCCAAAGCCUUUUGAAACAUUUUAGCUGGGAGUGCCAAGGCAUUUCGUCUAAAGUCCUGAAUAGAUGUGUCCUCCUCCGUGGUGCCUAAAUUACUUCGAAUUUGUACUCGAGUAAAAGUAGAAGUAAUUGACAAUAAAACGACUUGAAUAAGAGUAAAAAGUACUGGAGGCAAAACGUACUUAAGUAAAAAGUAUAAAGUAUCCUUAAAAAAUACUUGAAGAAUGAAAGUACAAAGUAAAAGUACUAUUAUUGUCUGUAGCGUGUAAGGGGGACUUCUCCAUUGAUGGAUUGAGAUACAAAAAAAAACACAAAACGGCACACACAUUAUAAAUGUGCAAUAUUUCACGGCAUGGUCUACUUUCUAGACCCCGUUGAAGAUAUAAGAAACUAUUAAUAAAUUUAAUACUGGAACGUAAGCCACAAACGAGGGAUCCCAGACCCAUGCACAGGUCCUAUUAUACCUAUCCCAAAAUUAAAAUCACGUAAAAUUAAACAAAAGUUAGUAUGCAACGAAAUACUUCGCC